GAAACUAACAAGGAUUCCCCUAGUAACGGCGAGUGAAGCGGGAAAAGCUCAAAUUUGUAAUCUGGCGCCUUUGGCGUCCGAGUUGUAAUCUCGAGAAGUAUUUUCCGCGCUGGACCGCACAUAAGUCUGUUGGAAUACAGCGUCAUAGUGGUGAGAACCCCGUAUAUGGUGCGGAUGCCCAGUGCUUUGUGAUAUACUUUCGAAGAGUCGAGUUGUUUGGGAAUGCAGCUCAAAUGGGGUGGUAAAUUCCAUCUAAAGCUAAAUAUUGGCGAGAGACCGAUAGCGAACAAGUACCGUGAGGGAAAGAUGAAAAGCACUUUGGAAAGAGAGUUAACAGUACGUGAAAUUGUUGGAAGGGAAACGCUUGAAGUCAGACUUGCAUUUUGGAGUUCAGCCGCAAGGUGUAUUCUCCAAUUCGCAGGCCAGCAUCAGUUUUCGGGGGUGGAAAAUCGCGGUUUGAAGGUAGCAGCCUCGGCUGUGUUAUAGCUUUCCGCUGGAUUCAUUUUUGGGGACUGAGGAACGCAGUACGCUUUUUGCAAGAUUUUAGAAUCUUUCGUACUUAGGAUGCUGGUGGAAUGGCUUUAAACA
rnacentral:rRNA from 1 species